rnacentral:rRNA from 1 species
GACGAACCGAGCGAACGUUGUUCGGAAUAACUGGGCUUAAAGGGCGCGUAGGCGGGCUGUCAAGUUUGGGGUGAAAUCCCGCGGCUCAACCGUGGAACUGCCUCAAAUACUGACGGUCUCGAGGGAGGUAGGGGCGAGCGGAACUGAUGGUGGAGCGGUGAAAUGCGUUGAUAUCAUCAGGAACUCCGGUGGCGAAGGCGGCUCGCUGGACCUCUUCUGACGCUGAGGCGCGAAAGCUAGGGGAGCAAACGGG